rnacentral:rRNA from 1 species
UACGUAGGGCGCAAGCGUUGUCCGGAAUUAUUGGGCGUAAAGAGCUCGUAGGCGGUUUGUCACGUCGGCUGUGAAAACCCGAGGCUCAACCUCGGGCCUGCAGUCGAUACGGGCAGACUAGAGUGCUGUAGGGGAGACUGGAAUUCCUGGUGUAGCGGUGAAAUGCGCAGAUAUCAGGAGGAACACCGGUGGCGAAGGCACUUUACUGGGCUAUUACUAACACUCAGAGACGAAAGCUAGGGUAGCAAAUGGG